rnacentral:rRNA from 1 species
CCUACGGGUGGCAGCAGUGAGGAAUAUUGGUCAAUGGACGAGAGUCUGAACCAGCCAAGUAGCGUGAAGGAUGACUGCCCUAUGGGUUGUAAACUUCUUUUAUCUGGGAAUAAAAUGUUCCACGUGUGGGCUUUUGUAUGUACCAUAUGAAUAAGGAUCGGCUAACUCCGUGCCAGCAGCCGCGGUAAUACGGAGGAUCCGAGCGUUAUCCGGAUUUAUUGGGGUUAAAGGGAGCGUAGGUGGAUUGUUAAGUCAGUUGUGAAAGUGUGGGGCUCAACCGUAGAAUUGCAGUUGAAACUGGCAGUCUUGAGUACAGGAGAGGUGGGCGGAAGUCGUGGUGUAGCGGUGAAAUGCAUAGAUAUCACGAAGAACUCCGAUUGCGAAGGCAGCUCACUGGAGUGCAACUGACACUGAGGCUCGAAAGUGUGGGUAUCAAACAGGAUUAGAUACCCCAGUAGUC